UAAUGUCAUUUUGAUGGCUGUUUAUUUGUUAGAUUUAACGUAUCCUUGUUUUGGGCAGCUUCUGGGAUGUUUCCAAGAUAUUUGCGGAUUUGGGCAAUAAGUUUUAUUAUUUAAAAAGUUUAUUUUAGUUCUGCAGUCUUUUCAUAGCAAUGCAAAGUACUUUUGACUUUAUUAAUGUUAAUUUUUAUCAAAGUUAAUUUGUUUAAUUAUUUUCUUGGUUAUGAAAAAUAAUUUAAUAUAAAUAAAUUAAGGUAUUAAACUGCAUGAAUUAUUUUUGUUUAAUUAAACUUUUAUUAUCAUAAAAAUGUUCAAGGUUAGUUUGAGGAAUUAUUUGGAAAUCGGAAAAAUGGAAAUUGAUCCCUCUUAGAGAUAUUGGCUAUAAAACAAAUUCAAAAUAGUGAAUUUUGAGUUUUAUAAUGCUAUUUUGUUCAGAUAUCUCAGCACCAGAAAAAACACCAAAUUUGUUUAUGCUGCAUUUAUACUUCUUGUAUUGAAGAUGCAUACCUAAAAAUUUCAAAUUUUUAAUUCACUGUAUGUUGUGCCAAUUUUCGGUCCGUAAAUUGACCAAUAAGUUCCCUGAAAUAGACUAAGUCUUUAAUAUUUGAAAUUAUUUUGAAAGAAAAAAUUAUUUGUUAUUAAGUUGAAAUUCUGAAGAAAUAUUUUUGGUCCAUAAAACCUACAGGAGGUAUACAUUUCAAGAAAAUAAAACAUUGUCACGCGAGAAGGCUUGGCUCAUCUUAUAUGGAAUGACCCUAUUAUAUGCUUAUGAUAUAUAAACUUUAUACUAUAAUAGUAUGAUUUUCGUAUUAUAUUAUAUGAUAUUUUUAUAAUAAAUUUUUUCUAGUAAUAUAAUAUAAAUUAGUGUAGUAUUAUUAAACUAAUUAAAUUGUGCCAAAUAAUGUUGUUUAAUAAUGUUGUUUAAUACUUGUGUAAUAAUGGUGUUUACCUCUUACCGUCUGACCUGUCUGUUUAUUAUUACUGUUUUUAACAUUAAUUUUGUAUUGCAAGUAUUAAAAAAUGUUAAAUAUACUAUUUGUAAAAUUAAAGUAGUAUAAACUAAUAAUAACUGCUUUACUUAUUUCUUCAAUAGUUAAUAGUUGAAAAUAAUAAAGGCUGUUGUUGUCAAAUUUCUUGGGGAAAGAAAAUUGUUAUUGCUUGUAAUAUUACUGACAUUUUAACUAAUGUGUGAUUCACUACAUGAAUACUUAUGCCAAAGUUUAUAUGGUCCACAAGUUAUCUUUAA